AGAGUUUGAUCCUGGCUCAGAACGAACGCUGGCGGCGUGGAUUAGGCAUGCAAGUCGAGCGAGAAAAGGGGGGCAACUCCCUGAGUAAAGCGGCAAACUGGUGAGUAACAGGUGGGCAACGUACCCCGGCGUGGGGGAUAACUUCGAGAAAUCGAGGCUAAUACCGCAUGCGGUCGUCAUGGCUUUGGCCGAGACGAUCAAAGACUUCGGUCGCGUUGGGAUCGGCCCGUCCCCGAUUAGCUAGUUGGUGAGGUAACGGCUCACCAAGGCGACGAUCGGUAGCUGGUCUGAGAGGAUGGUCAGCCACACUGGAACUGAGAUACGGUCCAGACUCCUACGGGGGGCAGCAGUCUAGAGGCUUCGGCAAUGGGGGAAACCCUGACCGAGCUACGCCGCGUGCGGGAUGAAGGCGUUUUCGUCGUAAACCGCUGUGUAAGGGGAAGAAUGCCCGAAUGGUGAAUUCGGGGGGGACGGUACUCUUGCAGAAAGCCCCGGCUAACUCUGUGCCAGCAGCCGCGGUAAUACAGAGGGGGCAAGCGUUGUUCGGAUUUACUGGGCGUAAAGGGAGUGUAGGCGGCCGUCAAGUCCGGUGUGAAAUCCUUACCACUCAACGGAAGGGGGUCACUGGAAACUGGUCGGCUAGAGUAAGGUAGAGGCAAGCGGAAUUCCUGGUGUAGCGGUGGAAUGUGUAGAUAUCAGGAAGAACAUCUGUGGCGAAGGCGGUUUGCUGGGCCUUUACUGACGCUGAGACUCGAAAGCGUGGGGAGCAAACGGGAUUAGAUACCCCGGUAGUCCACGCUGUAAACGGUGAGCGCUAGGUGUGGGGGGUAUCGACCCCUCCCGUGCCUGAGCAAACGCAAUAAGCGCUCCGCCUGGGGAGUACGGCCGCAAGGUUGAAACUCAAAGGAAUUGACGGGGGCCCGCACAAGCGGUGGAGGAUGUGGUUUAAUUCGACGACUACGCGAAGAACCUUACCUAGGCUUGAACAGCCGGGUAAACCCCUGGAAACAGGGACUGGUAGCAAUACCGACCCGGUAGAGGUGCUGCAUGGCUGUCGUCAGCUCGUGUCGUGAGAUGUUGGGUUAAGUCCCGCAACGAGCGCAACCCUUGUCGUCUGUUACCAGCGGGUAAUGCCGGGGACUCAGGCGAGACUGCCGGUGGUAAACCGGAGGAAGGUGGGGAUGACGUCAAGUCCUCAUGGCCCUUACGUCUAGGGCUACACACGUCCUACAAUGGCCGAGACAAUGGGAUGCAAGACCGCGAGGUGGAGCCAAUCUCUGAAACUCGGUCUCAGUUCGGAUUGCAGUCUGCAACUCGACUGCAUGAAGUUGGAAUCGCUAGUAAUCGCGGAUCAGCACGCCGCGGUGAAUACGUUCCCGGGCCUUGUACACACCGCCCGUCACACCACGAAAGUUGGUUGUUCCAGAAAUCGCUGUCGGAACCGCAAGGACCAAGGCGCUGAAGGAAUGGCCAGUAAUUGGGGUGAAGUCGUAACAAGGUA
rnacentral:rRNA from 1 species